rnacentral:rRNA from 1 species
GAUGAACGCUGGCGGCGUGCCUAAUACAUGCAAGUCGAGCGAACAGAUGAGGAGCUUGCUCCUCUGACGUUAGCGGCGGACGGGUGAGUAACACGUGGAUAACCUACCUAUAAGACUGGGAUAACUUCGGGAAACCGGAGCUAAUACCGGAUAAUAUAUUGAACCGCAUGGUUCAAUAGUGAAAGACGGUUUUGCUGUCACUUAUAGAUGGAUCCGCGCCGCAUUAGCUAGUUGGUAAGGUAACGGCUUACCAAGGCAACGAUGCGUAGCCGACCUGAGAGGGUGAUCGGCCACAAUGGAACUGAGACACGGUCCAGACUCAUACGGGAGGCAGCAGUAGGGAAUCUUCCGCAAUGGGCGAAAGCCUGACGGAGCAACGCCGCGCGAGUGAUGAAGGUCUUCGGAUCGUAAAACUCUGUUAUUAGGGAAGAACAAAUGUGUAAGUAACUAUGCACGUCUUGACGGUACCUAAUCAGAAAGCCACGGCUAACUACGUG